rnacentral:rRNA from 1 species
GACGAACGCUGGCGGCGUGCUUAACACAUGCAAGUCGAACGAAGUGGCGAACGGGUGAGUAACGCGUAAUCAACCUGCACUUCAGAGGGGGACAACAGUUGGAAACGACUGCUAAUACCGCAUACUGAAGGAGGGGAUUGCGUCUGAUUAGCUAGUUGGAGGGGGAACGGCCCACCAAGGCGAUGAUCAGUAGCCGGUCUGAGAGGAUGAACGGCCACAUUGGGACUGAGACACGGCCCAGACUCCUACGGGAGGGAGCAGUGGGGGAUAUUGCACAAUGGGCGAAAGCCUGAUGCAGCGACGCCGCGGGGGGGAUGAAGGCGUUCGGGUUGUAAACCUCUUUCGCUAUCGAACGGGUAGGUGGAGAAGAAGCGCCGGCUAACUACGUGCCAGCCGCCGCGGUAAUAC